GUGCACAACAGGAGGGACGAGGAAGGUGGAACUGCACCCCCUGAACUGCAGAUCCCAGAGCCACAGGCACCUGUUCAGAAAGCCCAGCAACUGACCCCAUCCAAACCCUUGGCACAAAUGGGAUUUGAUUGCGUUGUUCCAAGUACCUUCAUGCCGCAGAGAUUCCCUUUGCCUGGAAAAUGCUUGCUUAGGAAGGUUAUUCCUUUCCAGUUGUAUCACUGCUAGGAAACAGAAUCUUCAUCCAACUUGCAGAUGAAAGAGUCCCUCCUCCAAAGUGGAGCCCUCUACAUUCCUCUGUUCCUUAUACAAACAAAACUGCUGACUCCUUGCAAAGAAAUGGGUUGCAAUGGACUCUCUCCAUAUGUUCUAGGGAAAAAGCAAUGAAUCACAGGAGAAAGCAAAGGCUGAAGCAAGUCACACUGGAUGCUACUGUAUACAGCAUUUCAAUUAGUAUUGAUACUAUGAUUUUGUCUGUUGUUGACUGUACAUGCAUACUUAACAAAUUACUGCAAUCAGCAACUGUUGAAUAAGUGCUUCUUAUUCAUUAGCUACUCUUUGAUCUAAAACUGUAUUUUCCUAUUAGCGACUAAGCACCAUAAAUGUGCAUGAAUUCAAGUGACACGGGCAACAAGCUUACAUAACACAAGGAAAAAUCAGGAGAGCAAAAAAGAGCAGCAGUGAGUGAGCAUGUACUGAGCGGCACCUCCCUUCACGCUCUUUCCUUUUCUUGAUUGCUGCCUGCAAAACCGGCAGUGGGAGAACUCAGCGCUGCACUGACAGCUUCGCAGGCCCCCCCGAUGCUCCCCUGUAUUGUCUAGCACAGAGAGUUGAUAUGGUGAGAAGGUUCACUUAAAAACUUAGCCAAACUUUCUUAUUCUUUUCAAAGAAAGGUUAGUUCAUAACAAAACUCGGAGUCCAUUAAAAGAUGCUCAAUAAGCUCUAUAUGUUGUGUAUUCUCCAAAUGACUGUCACAGAUGGUUUUCUGUCUGUAACUGUGAUUUGAAAAUACUGAUCUGUCUUCCACAGAACACAUGAAAAAAUAUAGAAAGAAGUCAGUGCCAGCCACUAGAAGAGAACAGGCUCCACCAAGCAAAUUGCAGAGCUGUGGGGAGCACUCCUAUUACUCAGGGCUACAACCCCCAGCAGCCCCAGGAAGAAGGCUGAGUGAUGUAAAAGAUGUCACCAUGGCUCCACUGGGGGACUGCAGGGCUGGGAGGGCUGCCAACUGAGGGGAAAACAAUGAACAGGAGGUAAAAAUGCUUAGUGCUGUGGCUUGCAAGUCACAUGUAAGAGAAGCCCAUAAACAAACACAUACAAAGUCCAGGUUGUCUGUGCUGAGUCCAAAGGGGCCAAGUGGCAAACAAAGACACAUUUCCAUUGAAAUGCCACAAAAGAAACCAUGCAGAGGACAUUAUUCUUGACAGGUGAUGCUCAUUUCCAGUCCCCCCAAAACGUGCUGUCAAGACAGUGCGUUCUGCAAUGCGUCUACAUAAGCUCAACAUCUCUGUGUACACCAAAGCUUUGAGGAUGUAAUUCCCCAUUGUCUCCUCAAAACUUCCCAUUAUCUCAAAGGAACCAUUACACUGCGAUGGGGAGUUUAUAGCCUGACAAUCUCCAGAUGCUCAAUAGCAAAUAUGACCACUGGCAUUGCCUUCAUCUCACUGCACAACACAUCACCGUGCUCAGACACACAAAGCCAGCAGGAGGUACCGCCAGCUGAGAACAAACUUUGGCAACUCCUUCCCACCAAAAUACACAUUUCAGAUUUUGUGACACUUCACCUUGAAUUCAGUCAUCGAAGCUGACUUCAAGACCCUCACUGCAGAAGCCCCAACAAAUGCAGGAUUUCCCAGCCAGCCCCAGAUCUGCUGGUAGGACCUUCCACGUGUUGAGAGCGAGCAGCCAGCAUUGCCCAUCUGAAGCUCUGUAUCUCAGUAGCACUCACUGGCAGUUCUGUGAGACAGAACAGUGUCUGCCAGUUGCAGACAUUUCAAGCCAAGUGGACGACAAAGGCCUUGCUCACCAGUCCCUUCUUACCCAUUCAGAAUGUAGGGCAGUCUUGAAUAAAUAAAUAGCACUGAUUGCUCAUUUCAAA